UUUCCGUAGGUGAACCUGCGGAAGGAUCAUUACAGAGACGUGGAGCAAACGGGUAUAUAUCCCACCCUACGUUUAUCUUACUUUUUUUUCUUUCCAUACCCAUACUAUUUCACACUGACAACUGAUUGUAAUGUGUGCCUUAUCGCCAGAGAGAAAAUCACAUUCUUAGUCUCUUUUGUUAAAAAAUUUGUCAAAUUUUAUAAACUUGUGUACAACUCCUAUCAAUGGAUAUCUUGGCUCUCGCAUCGAGGAAGAACGCAGCAUAACGGAAGAUCACAC
rnacentral:misc_RNA from 1 species